rnacentral:tRNA from 1 species
ACCAAGAUAGCCAAGCGGUUAAAGGCGAGGUCUGAAAAGCUAUUAUGUAAUUUGGUAUACUGGGUUCGAUUCCCGGUCUAGGCU